CGAUGCCUCCCCGCAAAGCAUCCACCAGGCGGUCCACGACCUCUGCGGUCAGAUUUCAGGCUCUGGCCUCGCCUCCAAUUUCUCAGGCUCCUCCUCCUCUGGCAACGACGGUCGACAGGUUCAUCCGACGUCGGCCUAAAGGUAGGGAGAAUCGACCGAGGGCCCUGCCACGACUGGAGCCGCCAAGGAGGGAAGAACAACCUGGAGAUCGGCCUCCAAUCGGGAUCGUCUACACCAUCUCUGGAGGGCCCCAG
rnacentral:lncRNA from 1 species